rnacentral:rRNA from 1 species
CCCUUAGACGUUCUGGGCCGCACGCACGCUACACUGACACAGGCAACGAGCUUUCCUUUACCGAAAGGUAUGGGUAAUCUUUUGAAACUGUGUCGUGCUGGGGAUAGAUCCUUGCAAUUUUUGAUCUUAAACGAGGAAUUCCUAGUAAGCGCGAGUCAUCAACUCGCGUUGAUUACGUCCCUGCCCUUUGUACACACCGCCCGUCGCUACUACCGAUUGAAUGGCUUAGUGAGGCCUCAGGAUCCGCGCUUAAUGUGUGGAGAAUUUGGACAAACUACGUCAUUUAGAGGAAGUAAAAGUCGUAACA